GCAUGCAGAGAGGCUUCUCUCCGCCCUGCUUCUCCACCCAUUGUCAACAUGACUUUUAACUAAACGUUUACUCUUACGUUUACUGCCCAGUCAACUGCUGCUACCCAACAUAAGUAAAGAGCUUCAAGCUUUCAAUACAGUUCACAUCCCAUACUGGAAACUCAAGCCCUCAGAUGUGUUCCUCGACAACACUGCAAAGACAGCGGAUGGACUGCAGAUGACUGUUCUUCCUUCCUAGAUUCCUGCCACAAAACUUACUUUUUUUGUGAAGAACUCACUAUGUGAGAUGUGAAAACCAUUCUAGGACUGUCUCUUACAAAAGCUUUUCCAAGUCUUCGGGAUACGCUCCUUUCUGGUUGAUACGUGUGAUCGCUGUGUCUGCCUUUCCAACCUGUGAUGCAGAACUCCCCAAGAACACAGACCAGCAAGUUCCUAUGACACCUGCAGAAGUUUUCAAGCCUAAAAACUAAUACUUCAUCAACGUGGCCACUUUAUAACCAAUUCUAUGGAAUCCCAUAUAUCUACAUAGACGUGUUAAGAGUUAGAAGCUAACAGAAGCCCCACAAAAUGCAAAGUCAAUAGCAUCACUUUUUUCAGCUCAGCUAGAACAACAAAUUCAGAAUUAAAUAAGUGAAACUCGUUGGUCCUAUUGCAGUAAUAACAGUUGGGAUCAGCUGUGCUUAAAUCUAAGGUCAGGCAAGUCAUGACUUUCUUAUCACCAGCUCUUUCAGAGAAGUAGUAUUUCCUAACGUCCAGCCUGAACCUCCCCUGGCACAGCUUGAAGCCAUAUUGUUGCCUGGUUAACGUACAUCCAUGAUUACGUCUUGGAAUCCGAUGCAAAGCCCCGAGCACCGUAUAGUGCACCUACUAGAAACAAGUGCUCCCCAGAAUUUCUGACCCUAGCACCCACCUUUGAAUUCCAAAAGCUCCCGACCACCUCCAUAUAUAAGCACAGUUGUUGAAAUCACUUUUUACUGUUUAAUAUAAUCUCAGUGACUACUAACGAUGACCUGGCAGUGGGGUGGGACACGCUAGAAUGAAGAAAGCAGAAGGGAAUAUCUAUUUUAAAUUUAACGCAGUUCUUUCCUUUUGAAGAAUACUUAGGAAACUCAACACUGACACUGAUGUACUUUAAUGCAAAAAAUCGCUUUGAAUAUUUGAGUUUUUCAGCCUCGAGAUGCCAGUUUUCCAAUGGCUAAAAAAAAAACCUCUAUGAAAAGCCCUACAAUAAUUAUCCAUAAACACAAGCAAAGCCCAAAUCUUCCGUUUAUGAACCUUACCCUGCUGACAAAGUACUCCAAGGACCUACUUGAAAAAAUGCCAUGUAGGCCACUUCCUGAUUACAUUUUGUCAUUGUGCCGCACGAGAACUUCUCUCCAUAGCCCAUUUCAGACCACUUCCUCAAGGAUUUCCCUCCCGUGCGUGCAAUCUCUUUCUCUAACCCCUCGUAACAAGGGCAAUGAGGCAGUAAAACCAAAUCUUACUGUUCAUCCCUUUAAAAGGAAAAAAAAAAAGUUAGCAGUCACGUGACUAGCUUAAUCAUGCAGGAAAGCUGAUCAUGAGUACAUAAACACCUCUGAGCAAAUCAAGGUCAGAGCUAAAGUAGGUCAACCAAGUCUGCCAAGCACCCAUCCGGGAGUCAAGACCUCUUUACGCAAGCGCCACGAGUUUCAAUUACCCCUGGGCAAGACCCAGCUAUCUCCAGCACACAAUGCAUACUUAUUUUAAGAGAAAUGUAAUCCUUAACUUUGUGAAUCACAAGCGUGUCAUAUCUUAAAGCACGAUUUCACAAUGGCAGAGGAAAAGUGUGGUGUGGUUUCCUUCAGAGGUCAUUAAGAAGAUGCUCACUGUCCCUGUGCGUAAUGACGUGAACCAAAAACACGCAGCUACAGAAGGGGAAUCCUUCUCCCCUUCACAGCAGUACCCCACAACAGAAGGCAGCUGUCACAGCACGAACCGGUAGGAAGCACGACAGCAUUUGUUCUCUCCACCCUGUGCUUCUCCGAGCCGUGCUGUAGAUGGACGUGUGCUCCAGAUGCGCACUCCAACUAACAGUGGGAGACGUCUGCUCAGCAGCACAGGCACCGCGGUGUCCCCGAGCUGUUUGCAGAGGCAUCACGCACACGUGGGCACAGCUGCUCCAUGUGACAAGCAGUUCCUACAGCAGAAUCUUCAUUAGGAAACAGUCCGUAUGGUUCAAAGGAAGAUGUUUGAAUUAAAGCAGCGGUAUUUUCCUUUUCCUUCGGUACUCAAGGAGCACCUGCCAGAACACCUCCUAUUUGUUCAAUAGAUUGACACUGUUUUGUUUCAGUGGCACAUUUGUGCUCCCUGAACUCCCCUAAUAACAUCUGCAGGAACACACUGUACUCCCAGAUGGUAAAAUGCCCUGUGGCAUCAUCCCACAUCUCACAGCAAAGCAGUGAUCUUCGUGUUUUGCUUGCUGAGGCCAUCCUUUUACUCACUCAACACCAUGUUCCCCAACCUCUGGCAGCCCACAAACCACAUCUGAGUUUUGGAACUCAUCCCUACCCAAGCUGGUGUUUCUAGCCCAUCCUUCAGGCACACACUCAGCAUGCUGCACGCCUCACCUUACCAGCUGCUGCAACACAGCCCUGCACGAGAAGGGCUGCACGAGCAGCCCCAGCUCUGCAAAGACAGGGGCACAGCCUUUGGGUGCUCAAGUGAUUUACUGUUCUAACAGCUGCUCCCUGUCUUUCCUAAGGAAAAAGGAACAGGCUUGGGGGGACAUCCCAUGGAUUUAAACCAGCCACAAAGCUAUAAGAUGAAUCAUUUUGACCUAAGGAGAAAAAAAAAAAAAAAAGCCU